rnacentral:rRNA from 1 species
GACGAACGCUGGCGGCGUGCUUAACACAUGCAAGUCGAACGGAAAGGCUCCAGCUUGCUGGAGUACUCGAGUGGCGAACGGGUGAGUAACACGUGGGUAAUCUGCCCUGCACUCUGGGAUAAGCCUGGGAAACUGGGUCUAAUACUGGAUAUGACCUUUCUCCUUAUGGGGUUUGGUGGAAAGUUUUUCGGUGUAGGAUGAGCCCGCGGCCUAUCAGCUUGUUGGUGGGGUGAUGGCCUACCAAGGCGACGACGGGUAGCCGGCCUGAGAGGGUCAUCGGCCACAUUGGGACUGAGAUACGGCCCAGACUCCUACGGGAGGCAGCAGUGGGGAAUAUUGCACAAUGGGCGGAAGCCAGAUGCAGCGACGCCGCGUGAGGAAUGACGGCCUUCGGGGUGAAAACCUCUUUCAGAGGGGACGAAGCCUAAUUGACGGUACCUGCAGAAGAAGCACCGGCUAACUAUGUG